GGUUACGGCUUAGUGGUAGAGCACUUGCCUGGCAUGUGUGAGGCACUGGGUUCGAUCCUCAGCACCA
rnacentral:tRNA from 1 species